rnacentral:rRNA from 1 species
CUGCCCAGUGAUAUAUUUUUAACGGCCGCGGUAUUCUAACCGUGCAAAGGUAGCGUAAUCACUUGUCUUCUAAAUAAAGACCAGUAUGAACGGCUAAAUGAGGACAAACCUGUCUCCUACGACAAAUCAGUGAAACUGAUCUUCCAGUACAAAAGCUGGAAUAAACACAUAAGACGAGAAGACCCUGUGGAGCUUACAAACACAAGAUCAACAAGGCAAACCACAAAACCAACAAUUGACCAUACGUUUUAAGUUGGGGCGACUUCGGAAAAAAACAGAACUUCCGAGAACGGGGCCACCAACCCCUGCUAAGGAAUACAACCCAAAGCAUCAACAUAUAAAAGACCCAGUCAAACUGAUUAACGAACCAAGUUACCCCAGGGAUAACAGCGCUAUCUUCUUCAAGAGUCCAUAUCGACAAGAAGGUUUACGACCUCGAUGUUGGAUCAGGACACCCAAAUGGUGCAGCAGCUAUUAAAGGUUCGUUUGUUCAACGAUUAACAGUCCUACGUG